rnacentral:rRNA from 1 species
CUCCAGACUCCUACGGGAGGCAGCAGUGGGGAAUAUUGCACAAUGGGGGAAACCCUGGUGCAGCAACGCCGCGUGAGUGAAGAAGUAUUUCGGUAUGUAAAGCCCUAUCAGCAGGGAAGAAAAUGACGGUACCUGAGUAAGAAGCCCCGGCUAACUACGUGCCAGCAGCCGCGGUAAUACGUAGGGGGCAAGCGUUAUCCGGAUUUACUGGGUGUAAAGGGAGCGUAGACGGCUGUGCAAGCCAGAUGUGAAAGCCCGGGGCUCAACCCCGGGACUGCAUUUGGAACUGUGUGGCUGGAGUGUCGGAGAGGCAGGCGGAAUUCCUAGUGUAGCGGUGAAAUGCGUAGAUAUUAGGAGGAACACCAGUGGCGAAGGCGGCCUGCUGGACGAUGACUGACGUUGAGGCUCGAAAGCGUGGGGAGCAAACAGGAUUAGAUACCCCAGUAAA